rnacentral:lncRNA from 1 species
GGCUCCAGCUGCUGCCGAAGGGGAUCCGGGGUAGGUUCCCGCGGCCCCCGGUGCCGACCGGGAGCGGGAAUGCGGCUGCGGCUCCGGUGGGAGCUGGUCCAUCCCCGUGGCUCUGCCCAUCCCUGGAUCCGCUCCUGCCACCCCCCCCCCUUCUCUUCCAGUCGUCCUUCCCGGGGAGGAGAAGAUGGACACGGACGUUCCCGAAAUGCCGGAGGAGGGUGACGCUGCACCGGCACCUGCCGGCCCCGAGCCUCUGCGGACAGUGACGCCAGGAGAAGUGUGCGAGGGAGGGCUCCGGGUGCUGGAAGGCUUGGCCGCCUCCGGCCUCCGCUCCAUCCGCUUCGCCCGGGAGGUGCCGGGGCUCCGGGCCGUGGUGGCCAACGACUUCUCGGCCCGGGCGGUGGAGCUCAUGGCCAGGAACGUGGCCUUCAACGGCGUCGGGCACCUGGUGGCUCCCAGCCUGGCCGACGCCAGGUGAGUCGCCGGCCGCCGCUCCGGCCGGCAGCGGCCUCCCGCAUCCUCCUUCCGGCAGCUGGAUGCUGGGAUUUAUCCCACCCCCUCUCCCGGCUUUGCCGCUUUUUGGGCUGCCUUGGGACACCCUGGUGGCCUCGCUCCAGCUUCCCCCCCGCGUACUGGGGGGGCCCAAACUGGUCCCAGUGUCCCCCCCCCGCCCCGGGGUCUCCCAGCGGCGGUCCGAGGGGAACGUCGCCUCCCCUCGCCCUGCUGCGGCCCGGGAUGGGGCUGGCGCCGGAGGGACCCCGCCAGUCCCUCCCAGUCCCUACUGGGGCAGGGUGGGGUUUGGCACUGGUUUUUGUGGGAUCUGAGAACUGGGGUGGCUCUUGGCCCCUGGUUUAGGGUCCCUGUUGCUCCGGGACCCCCUGUCCCCCCCCCUAGGGUGGCUCUGAGCCCCCCAGUUUGGGGUCCCCAUUGCUCCAGGACUCUCUGUCCCCCCCUGGGGUGGCUCUGAGCCCCCAGUUUGGGGUCCCCAUUGCUCCGGGACCUCCUGUCCCCCCCGGGGUGGCUCUGAGCCCCCCAGUUUGGGGUCCCCAUUGCUCUGGGAC